UCUCUCUCUCUCUCUCUCUCUCUCUCUCUCUCUCUUUUGUGUCCUUCUCCAUCACCAAAACCUCCUCUGCUUGCUCUUCAUCUGCUCUCCCGUAGAUCAGAGUUCAAAAAAUCUCAUAUCGGAAUACAUUGGCGCUCUCUUUCUCCUUUGUCAAUUCAAUCAGCCUCAUUUGCUUAGGGUUGCUACACUUGCUUAAGAACACAGCGUCGAAGUACUUUGAGGUCAACGCAAAUUUCAAAAGAGGAGGCGGAGGAGACCACGGUGGUGAUUGGACGACCUAAAUGAUGAUCCAUUUGAGCUACGUCUACGAGCAAGGUUUCGUCACAAAUCUACAAUCUCGGUGCGAAUCUCUGCCUUCUUCAUCUCUAUCAGAACGUGUGAGCACUCAAAUUGUUACACUGAUAUUGGGAAGCUUCUGAAGAUGAAGCUAGAUGAGGUUUCAGCUAGGACCAUGGAGGUAUUGGUGGAUGCUUUUUCUAGUUCUGCAGGGCUGUCCACCUUCUCCUAUACUGAGUUGGACUAUGAAUGGGGUGAACAGAAUAGAGAUUGCCAGUGAGAUGGAUGCAACUGCUGCUGGUACGUUGAGGAGGAGGACCUCAUGAGGUUCAUGAUUGAGAAAGAGGUAGAAGUUGAAUUUAUGCUGAUUGACGUAGCACAAACCAGAUGAAUUGAUAAAAGAGCUCUAAUAGAUUGGGUGGUAAGCCGUCUAUUUAUGUAUCAGUACCUCUCAGUUCCAUGUGAAUAGCAUACAUUGAUCUGUAGCUAUGGAGUUCUACUUCUUGGCCAUGCAUAAAUAGUUGCUCGUAUUCUGGUUAAGGCACUGAUGGCAAUUCCCACUCUCGAUCCAGCCUUUGUCUCUUCCUAAUUCCAGAAAGAGUGGUAUUUUUCUUUUAUUCUCUACCGAUUUACAAUUUAAUUGUUUCCAUGAACAAUUAUAUUUGGUUGAAAGAACUGAAAAUUGUUCAAGGUGCUUCAGGGGUCGAAGUGGAACUUUAAGUUUGAAGCUUUGCUACCCCUAUUGGUACAUUACAUGCUUUGUAGUUUGUCAGGGGGAAAUGAAGUGAAUUAAAAAAGAAUGUUCUUGCUGAGAUCACACUGAAUUUAAUUUGUUCUUAUUGGGUUUACAUGUUGAACUCGUUUUUCUUAUUAAGUUGCAGUAAAUUGUCAUUCUCCCAUGAGAGAUGAGAUCUGAUGCAAAAAAAAAAAAAAAAAAAUUUGGUCUAUUGAGUUCACCAAAAGUUUGAGAGUUUUGAUCAACUAAUCCCCUCCUUUAUUUCUGUCUUCCCAUAUCGGCAAAUGGAGGAGCAAUUCAAGACAUUGAUUGUCCUAUCUCAUUAUUUGGAGGUGCUUUCUUUACUGGAUAAUUGGAUAUGUAGAUCCAUCAGCUAUGCAGUUCCUAAAACUCUAGUUCUUUACUGUAUUUACAUUACAAAUAGACCAUCCUCAGAGCUAAAAAAUCCUCUCCAUUGUCCACCAUACUAAGCAAGCUCGAGACUCCACAACUCCCAAAAGGUAAGAAACUCUUGACGUCGCUUUCAAUUUUUGGCCAUAUUUUGCACUACUUUGAUCAUUGUUUUAAUCUAGGAAACUAUGUAAUCUGCACCCCCUACCUAGUUUUGUGUACCAGAAAAGUUAUGAUAGUUUUGCUUCAAUACCAGAAAUUUUCUUUCCUUUCGGUAAGAACUUCUACUUUCUGUUAAAUUCCAGUUCUUAAAGCUAUUCAAGGUUGUAAUGGAAUGCACUUUUGAUUAUUACGUUUUGGUAAACCCAUGAGGAUGGAUAGGACUGGAAAAGACCAAAGUUCAAUUACUGCACUCCAAGUGUUUGAUGUUAUGCCUCAAAGACAACACCCAAGCUGAACCAGUGGGCUAUUCCAUGAUUUUUGAAAAACCUAUACUUCUUGUUUUACUCUCAGUUUUUAACAGCUUAAAAUAGACUCUUAAAUGAUCAUUUUGAGCUUAGUUUCAAGAAAAACGGAGUUAAAAUGAGAUACUUGUGCUAUUUUGAAGUUACUACACUGUUUCAGGAUUUCUGCAGAAUUAGCGUUUCUGUCCAUUUUAGAUUCUUGUUUGACCCUCCAUUUGAACUUCGAUUAGCAUGAAACUUUGCAAAAUAGUAGCUUCGCAUGUCUACUUCAAAUCUGGAAAGUUUUGCUUGAAAUGACUGAAAGACUAAUUGUUGGUGAAAUUUUAUUGCUUGUUACCAGUUUUCUGAAAUUUUCUCAAAACUUGCAGCUUAUUGUUACAAACAAUUGAUUUGAGAACCUUUACACUUGUUUUCUGUCCUCGAUCUUCAGUAAGUUAGAUUAGAGAUGCAAAGCAUGCCCUGAAACUUAACUUCAAUUCGAAAGUGACAACAAACCAGUGUUUUCUAUGCAUUCUGAUCAGAACAUUCUGAUCAAUGCUUUCUUUUCGGAAUAAGCCCACACAUGGUGUUGGAGGAUGAGAAAGCACACAAAGUUAAUUCUUCAACAUUGGCUUGAAGCUAUUGAUCCACACCAUCAGUAUGGACACAAUUUACACAUGAACUACGAUUUAUGAUUUGAAAGUGAGAGCAGCCAGCCUUUCUUCUACUGACGGAUACCCAUCUGAAUUGUGGGAAGGCACUACUGGAAAUGCUAUUAUGUAUUUAUGUCCCCCUGCCAUCAUAUGUUGCAAAAGACUUGGGACUAUGUUCAAAAGCCGUGAUGGGUCCUGCUGGAAUCUGUUUGCUGUGUUUUUGAAGAUUUGGUGGAACUAUGGGCUUAUUUGGGAAGAGAAAUGAUUGAAGAAUGUCACUGUGUUAUGUUUGUGUACUGGUAGCUUCUUCUUUUUUUGAGGCAAGCGACAUUUUACUGAUCUUUGGCUGUAAUUAAAGAGUUGGUGUAUGAAAAGCAAUUGGAUAGGCAAGAAAUGGAUGACUUGCUGCAGAUGGUACUA